GACGAACGCUGGCGGCGUGCUUAACACAUGCAAGUCGAACGGAAAGGCCCUGCUUGCAGGGUACUCGAGUGGCGAACGGGUGAGUAACACGUUUGUGAUCUGCCCUGCACUUCGGGAUAAGUCUGGGUAACUGGGUUUACUACCGGAUAGGAGCUAUUUUUAGUGUGAUGGUUGGAACGUUUUUUUGGUGUAGGAUGAGAUCGCGGCCUAUCAGCUUGUUGGUGGGGUAAUGGCGUACGAAGGCGGCGACGGGUAGCCGGAGUGGGAGGGUGGACGGCCACAGUGGGACUGGGAGACAGCCCAGACUCCUACGCGAGGCAGAGGUGGGGAAGAUUGCUCAAGGGGCGCGAGCCAGAUGCAGCGACACCGCGGGGGGGAGGACGGCCUUCGGGUUGGAAACUCCUUUCGCUAGGGACGAAGCUUUUUGUGACGGUACCUAGAUAAGAAGCACCGGCUAACUACGUG
rnacentral:rRNA from 1 species